AGAGGAGGUGGCAAAGUGCGGGCUCACCCGCUCUUGCAUGCGGCCGAAAUGACACGGAGAGCGGGAGACGCGCAGAAAACCAACGCAGCAAUGAACCGUUAAACAGCACGCGGGCCGGAAUAACGGA
ensembl:ncRNA F20D1.15 ncRNA